CCUACGGGAGGCUGCAGUCGAGAAUCUUCCGCAAUGGGCGAAAGCCUGACGGAGCGACGCCGCGUGGAGGAUGAAGGUCUUCUGAUUGUAAACUCCUGUCACGGGUUAUGAAUGAUCGGCGGCUAACAAUCGCCGGCUUGACGUAAGCCCGAGAGGAAGCACCGGCUAACUCUGUGCCAGCAGCCGCGGUAAUACAGAGGGUGCAAACGUUGUUCGGAAUUACUGGGCAUAAAGCGCACGUAGGCGGUCCUGCAAGUGUGGUGUGAAAUCCCACGGCUCACCCGUGGAACUGCGCCGCAUACUGCAGGACUCGAGGACGGUAGAGGAGAGCGGAACUCCAGGUGGAGCGGUGAAAUGCGUAGAUAUCUGGAGGAACACCGGUGGCGAAGGCGGCUCUCUGGUCCGUUUCUGACGCUGAGGUGCGAAAGCCAGGGUAGCGA
rnacentral:rRNA from 1 species